CCUACGGGCGGCAGCAGUGAGGAAUAUUGGUCAAUGGACGCAAGUCUGAACCAGCCAUGCCGCGUGCAGGAAGACGGCUCUAUGAGUUGUAAACUGCUUUUGUACGAGGGUAAACUCAGAUACGCGUACCUGUCUGAAAGUAUCGUACGAAUAAGGAUCGGCUAACUCCGUGCCAGCAGCCGCGGCAAUACGGAGGAGUCAAGCGUUAUCCGGAUUUAUUGGGGUUAAAGGGUGUGUAGGCGGUCGGGUAAGUUCGAGGUGAAAUCCCGAGGCUCAACUUCGGGAUUGCCUCUGAUACUGUUCGGCUAGAGAGUAGGUGCGGGAGGCGGAAUGUAUGGUGGAGCGGUGAAAUGCUUAGAGAUCAUACAGAACACCGAUUGCGAAGGCAGCUUACCGGGCUACAACUGACGUUGAGGCACGAAAGCGUGGGGAGCAAACAGGAUUAGAUACCCCAGUAGUC
rnacentral:rRNA from 1 species